CCAUAUUGAAUCCAACAGCUGAUUGCUGCUGCCAUUUUUAUGCGUAGCAGAAUGUUAUUCACAUCUCUAUGCUUCUAAUUUUCUAUUAUGUUUAUUUAAUUCAUAACCAGUUUGCAUGGCAACCGAUUGAAUGAAAUGGAUUAUUCGAAAAGCCACUAAAAAUGGAUCAACGAUUAUAUGUCAAGUCUUUUGAGCAUUUUGCAUCUGGGGAGCUCGAGAGGAUUCAUAGUUGAUGAAUUUUGCUGAAGAUCUUUCCCAGUAGUAAACUAGAUGAGAAUUUUUCUUUAUUUAAAAGAUAAGACUUGUAAGGAAUCCUGAAGGGAUCCUUUCGGAAUCUAGCGUCAAGAAAAAUUUUCGUGAGUAAGACAAAAGAGAGAGAGAGCUUAACCCUUAAAAAAAAACUAGGUAUAAGAAAUUUAAUUGUUUACUAUUGUUUAGGGAAUACGAUAUAUAUAUUUUUGCGCUUUGGGUUAAUUAGUUUUGGAAAUAAUGGAAUUAUCGGUUAAAUAAAAAUUAAGUUACGUUUUCAAGAGUCAGAAUUAGGAAUUAUGUUUAUUAGAUUUUGCGGAUGUUUGACGCGCCCGGCAGUUUUACAAUUUACAAUUUUGGUUCAAGGAGAAUUAUUACGCUUUUAGGCCAAGACAUUACCGAGCCACGUAAUUUAUUCGAAUUGAAACCCUUCUAUUGUUUUCGCGGAAACGUGUAAGAGCAGUUGGAAUGCUGCCGCUCAAAUAGUGGAUUUACGGGGUAGGAUGGGUUUUGAGUUUAGUUUCAGGGUGGAAGGCCACGCGAGUAAUCACGACCAUUACCAUCGCGUGGAUUGCCAAAAGGUCGAAUUACGUUUAUGUUUAAGAAUUAGAGCGAUGGAUAACUAGAAUGAGAUCGCGAAAAUAUCGUUUUGUUUUUAGAAAAUUAAUUACGUUUCUCCUAACCCCGGAGAUCCCGAGAAUGCAACCACGAAAAUAAAAAUCAAGUUACGCGAACAUUUGAACUUUCGCGCCGAGACCUGCCAGGCCAACUCUGCGUUGCCAUAACGCCCGGAGCGCUACGCUCCCGUCGGUCGCCAUGCGCCGACCUGUCGCGUAGCAACAGUCGCUACGUAGACGUCGCCGGCAUCACCACGUGUUGCAGGAACACCGACAAAAUUAAUAGUCAUUAUAGUGGAAGCUAAUUGUUCAUCGAGGAAAAUUGCGAUUGGACCAUCACCCAAAAGGACACCCAGCCAUUAGAACACUUCGCUGAGGAUCCAUCGAGAACGAAUCCCACUUAAUUCCCGGAACCACGUUGGCACCGUUUGAAAGUGACCAUUCUUCCAUUGCUUAGCAAUUGCUUAGCAAUUGCAAGCCAUGUCUGAAUGACGCAAUACUCGUGACCUUGAUGAUGUCACGUAUGUUUUUGGAAUCUGGGAGAAUAUUUACGGAUUAAGGAAAUACUUUUGCGCUAGUCGCCUAUAUAUUUUAAUUUACGUUACUGCUUCUUGAAACUUCGAGUUUUCUUUUGUACGUUUGCGCCUUUUGGUUUAUAUUAUAUAUUCCAAAAUUACGUUUUAUUAUGGAUCGUCCAUAUAUUCCAAAUUAAUUUGGAAGAAUUUGCAAGUUUUGCCUCUUACUGAUAUUUCUUCGAAAUUGUCUACCGCCGAUGGAUUUAUUCCAUUAUUGCACCUUUGGUCUUUUUGGUUUAUUUAUAUUACGAAAUUGAAACUAAUUAGGGAUUAUCCGUAUAAUUCAAAUAAAUUGGAAUUAUUCUUGCGAAUCGUUGCAAUUACGUGUAUUCUCAUGGGAUGUCAAUUUGCGUUAUCGCUUAGGGGUUCUUUUAUAUUUUUUUUUUGUGCGCCUUAGGCUAUUGCGGUUACACUCCGCUGCCAUGAGCAUCAAAUAAGUUGUUGUUGUUUCGUAUGAAUUUAAUUUCGUUAUGCUGCGCGCCUCCGCGAGAGUUGCCCGCGUAUUCCUCUCGCCAAGGUCGCGCCUCCGUAUAGAGCAUAUCCCGCGUCCGUUGUUUUAGCCGUUACGUAUGAUGUUCUCGGAGUUCGUAUGUGUAUGAGUUAUGUUGCGUUGUCGGUUGCGUUCAUGACGCUUGAGAAUUUGUUAGAAAUUAUUAAUUAAUAUUAGGUCGAGAACCAUGAACUGUAAGACGAAUUUUCGGUGACAUUAAUGGUAUUUAGUCGACAUUAAGAUCCGUAUACAUUCUUGUGUUUAUUUGGUUUUUGAUGAAUUUAUUGUAUUAUAUUAUAUAGCUUAAAGUUGGAUCUCUCUCUCUCACGAAAAUUAUUGGGUUUAUAUCUGCGUAUUAUUAAUAUUAGGAAUAUUGUAGAAGUUUGUACUUUUAUUUUAUGAUUAUCGGAAGUUAAAGAAUAUAUUUCCAUCAAAGAAAAUAUGAAAUAUGUAUUGAGUUUUGAAUUUAUAGAAUUGAUAGCCCAGUGACCAGCACACCCCGAACCACCCCUCUCUCCGCAACCUACAUCCUGAGCAGCGUGAGCAAA